rnacentral:lncRNA from 1 species
UUAAGAUUGUCAAAAGAUGCUAUUCCUGAGAAGGCUUGUCAGUUGGACAGUUGCUAGUGGAGACUAACGAAUGCUAAAGGUGAAGUAGAAGAAGUUCAAGGACCUGGAUUAGCUUGUGAAUUUCCAGUCAUCAGCCCAGGCUGGGUAUAUGACUGGAGCAGCUGUACCACAUUCUCUACAACACCACGAUAUAUGGAAGGGUAUUAUACCUACCAUUUCCUGUACUUUAAAUAUCUUUAAUGUUGCCAUUCUCCAAUUCCAUAUGGCAUGUCCAACGUUCAGGGUGUCUAUAGUAUGAUUGGAAAUGGGUCCUGAUGAAUAUGAAGAGAUGGAAGAGAAAGAUGAGGGGGAGGAGAAAAAAUGAUAAUGAUGAUGCUGAUGAUGAUUCAGCAGAUAUGGAUGAAUCAGAAGAAGAUGAGGAGAAAGAGAGAGUAGAGUCUUUGAUGUUCCCAUUUGUAGAUGCCACUGCUCGUGCCUU